rnacentral:rRNA from 1 species
CCCUUAGAUGUUCUGGGCCGCACGCGCGCUACAAUGAUGAAUUCAACGAGUUUAUAACCUUGGUUGAAAAGCCUGGGUAAUCUUUUGAACUUUCGUCGUGAUGGGGCUAGACCCUUGCAAUUAUUGGUCUCCAACGAGGAAUUCCUAGUAAACGCAAGUCAUCAGCUUGCAUUGAUUACGUCCCUGCCCUUUGUACACACCGCCCGUCGCACCUACCGAUUGAAUGGUCCGGUGAAAUCUUCGGAUUGAGACUUUGAUUUGUUUACUCAAAACGCUGUUUCAAGAAGUUGAUUAAACCUUACCAUUUAGAGGAAGGUGAGGUCGUAACA